rnacentral:rRNA from 1 species
AAUGGCUCAUUAAAUCAGUUAUCGUUUAUUUGAUAGUACCUUACUACUUGGAUAACCGUGGUAAUUCUAGAGCUAAUACAUGCUAAAAACCCCGACUUCGGAAAGGGUGUAUUUAUUAGAUAAAAAACCAGCGCCCUUCGGGGCUCCUUGGUGAUUCAUAAUAACUAAACGAAUCGCAUGGCCUUGCGCCGGCGAUGGUUCAUUCAAAUUUCUGCCCUAUCAACUUUCGAUGGUAGGAUAGUGGCCUACCAUGGUAUCAACGGGUAACGGGGAAUUAGGGUUCUAUUCCGGAGAGGGAGCCUGAGAAACGGCUACCACAUCCAAGGAAGGCAGCAGGCGCGCAAAUUACCCAAUCCCGACACGGGGAGGUAGUGACAAUAAAUACUGAUACAGGGCUCUUUUGGGUCUUGUAAUUGGAAUGAGUACAAUUUAAAUCCCUUAACG